rnacentral:rRNA from 1 species
UACCAGACUCCUACGGGAGGCAGCAGUGAGGAAUAUUGGUCAAUGGGCGGAAGCCUGAACCAGCCAAGUCGCGUGAGGGAAGACGGUCCUACGGAUUGUAAACCUCUUUUGCCGGGGAGCAACGGGGUCCUUGCGAGGGCCCGAUGAGAGUACCCGGAGAAAAAGCAUCGGCUAACUCCGUGCCAGCAGCCGCGGUAAUACGGAGGAUGCGAGCGUUAUCCGGAUUUAUUGGGUUUAAAGGGUGCGUAGGCGGACGCUUAAGUCAGCGGUAAAAUUGCGGGGCUCAACCUCGUCGAGCCGUUGAAACUGGGUGCCUUGAGUGGGCGAGAAGUACGCGGAAUGCGUGGUGUAGCGGUGAAAUGCAUAGAUAUCACGAAGAACUCCGAUUGCGAAGGCAGCCUGCUGGACUGUAACUGACGCUGAUGCUCGAAAGUGUGGGUAUCAAACAGGAUUAGAUACCCCAGUAAU